CAGGAGUUUGGGUCCAGAGUUUGGAGGAUCCAUCGGUCUGAUCUUUGCCUUCGCCAAUGCCGUCGCUGUGGCCAUGUAUGUAGUAGGGUUUGCAGAAACCGUCGUUGAGCUUCUGGAUAGUAUAGACGCUCUCAUGACGGAUGAGAUCAAUGACAUAAGGAUCGUUGGCACGCUCACUGCCGUCUUACUGCUGGGCAUCUCUGUCGCUGGAAUGGAGUGGGAGGCAAAAGCCCAGAUUGUGUUAAUGGUGG